GACGAACGCUGGCGGCGUGCUUAACACAUGCAAGUCGAACGGGUCUGCCCUGUUUUUUGCGGGGUGGGUCAGUGGCGAACGGGUGAGUAACACGUGAGUAACCUGCCCCUCACUUCUGGAUAACCGCUUGAAAGGGUGGCUAAUACGGGGUGUUCUGGCUGUGCCGCAUGGUGUGGCUGGGAAAGAUUCACUUUUGUGGUGUUUUGGUGGGGGAUGGGCUCGCGGCCUAUCAGCUUGUUGGUGGGGUGAUGGCCUGCCAAGGCUGUGACGGGGAGCGGGCGGGAGAGGAGGGGCGGCCGCACCAGGGGGGAGACACGACGCAGAAGCCUACGGGGGGCGGCAGUGGGGGGUGUUGGAGAACGGGGGGAAGCCGGAUGCAGCGGCACCGCGGGGGGGAGGAAGGCCUUCGGGGUGUGGAGACCUUUUGUGGGGGAAGAAAAGGGGCAGGUUUUUGGGGGGGGGUUGGGAGGGGGCCGAAUGAAGAAGCGCCGGCUAACUUCGUG
rnacentral:rRNA from 1 species